UGGCUCAGUUGGUAGAGAAUGGUAUUUGCAACGCCAGGGUUGUGGGUUCAAUUCCCAC
rnacentral:tRNA from 1 species